rnacentral:tRNA from 1 species
AGCAAGGUCAGCUAAUUAAGCUCUUGGGCCCAUACCCCAAAUAUGUUGGUUAAACCCCUUCCCUCGCUA